rnacentral:rRNA from 1 species
GAUGAACGCUGGCGGCGUGCUUAACACAUGCAAGUCGAACGGUGAACGAGGGAGCUUGCUCCCUCCGGAUCAGUGGCGAACGGGUGAGUAACACGUGAGCAAUCUGCCCUGGACUCUGGGAUAAGCGUUGGAAACGACGUCUAAUACCGGGUACGAGACGCGAAGGCAUCUUCAGCGUCUGGAAAGAACUUCGGUCCAGGAUGAGCUCGCGGCCUAUCAGGUAGUUGGUGAGGUAACGGCUCACCAAGCCUACGACGGGUAGCCGGCCUGAGAGGGUGACCGGCCACACUGGGACUGAGACACGGCCCAGACUCCUACGGGAGGCAGCAGUGGGGAAUAUUGCACAAUGGGCGCAAGCCUGAUGCAGCAACGCCGCGUGAGGGACGACGGCCUUCGGGUUGUAAACCUCUUUUAGCAGGGAAGAAGCGAAAGUGACGGUACCUGCAGAAAAAGCACCGGCUAACUACGUGCCAGCAGCCGCUGUAACAC